ACACUUGGCUCGUAAAAAACUCAAAAACCCUCACAAAAACCCAAUCAACCUCUCUCUCAAUCACGCUCACACUGGAAAAAUCCAGUCGUCAUGAGAAGGUAGUUGCGAUCGGAGCCUUCAUCGUCGACGCCGCCGCAGGCAGCUUUCUCCUCGCACACCCUGAAAACCAACACCCAAAUCCAAGAUCUCGCCAAAUCUGUCAAUCCCCCAAACCCUAGAUCUCCGCCUCUCCCUCUGCGGCACUCCUUCGCCGGAACUCACAGAGACAUAAGGAGCGGCAACUACAGCCUCUGCCUCUGACCACAACCCCGACUACAACCUCCUACUCUCUCCAAGCGCAAUCACAACUGCAACCGCAACCACAACCACAACCUGCUCCUUUCUCAACCUAGAUUCAAGGUCUUCCUCGUUUUCCUUCCUCCUCCAUUCUUCGGUGGAACCUGAAGUGCAAGCUCCCUCCAUACUUUCUUUUGACUCCGACUGAGAUUGAUAGGCUUCGCAUCUAAGCGAUGGUAAUCUUUCAAUUUUAAAUUUUUCUUAGAGGUACAACGACUUGAGGAGCGAUGGUAAUCUAUUAGGUAUCGUAUCUCUCUCUGAGUGAUGAUAAUUUUUGCAUAGUGUCACAACGAUUUUGAGUAUGUUACUGCUAGUUUUUGUAUAUAAAUUGUUUCUUCCAUUUUAGUAGUCUUGUUUCCCGAUUAUUGCGUUUUUAAUUUCAUUGGGUGAAUUGAGAUUUCUAUAAUUGAUUUGUGUUUGGCUGCCUGUAGUAUCCUGGUUUGUCUUCAUCGGGCAAUUUGAGGGUGUUCUAUUAUUUUUGGUCUAUCAUUGAUCUUGUUUAUAUUUACUACUAUAUGUUUUUCCUGAAAUAUCUUGGUAUAUGUCUGCUAGUUUUGGAAUAUGUUUAGGCUUUUAUUACCUCGUCAGUUGCUCCUGCUUUGCUUGGAGGAACCUUAUUGGGAUAUGUACAUUGACUUAAAAUCUGAAGAAAUCUCACUUGAACCAUCACUUCAGCGUUCAAAGGGAUUUGGGAUCGCUUCCUCCUUAUGGGACAAUGUUUUCAAAACAGUGCCUACAACAAAAGCUACAGAGAAAAUAAGUAACCAGUAGCACUGGCUGGUUAAUUAACAUACAUCUUCUUGUUACUAUGUAGUUAAUAAUACAUGGAUGCCUCGUAACACUGAAUGUGACCACAAGUUUUUGUUGGAUACCCUCGUUGGCCGGUCCUACAACAAUUGUUGCUCGAAGUAGUGGCAGUGGUGUCUCGUGGCUUUUCCCCUUUGUUGAUGGUCAGCCACCCCUUGGGUGAUCACACACCUUUGCAUAUCUUGUCUUGCCAAUUUUGUUGGUUGUCUCGCAGUACGUAUCUGUUCAAAUUAUGCAGGUUCUUUGGGUUCCGGAAAGGUGUUGAAUCUCUUCUCCAAGAAUGCAACUAAAGGUAGAGAUAGAUAGAUAGAGCUUUGAGGGACCGAGUAUCUACAUAGAUUCUUUAAGAAAGGCGCAACAUAGUUAUGAAAUAGCUUAUUAUAGUGCAUUUGAUACAAUAGAGAUGAUGUAAUGAACUAGUUGUAAUGAAUUAGUCGAUAAAGAUAAUGCAAUUUGGUUAAAUUGG